rnacentral:rRNA from 1 species
GCUAAACAGCUAGCUUAACCAUUUAAAUAAUUAACACAACAUUAAAACAUUUAACACAACCCCUACGCAUCAAACCAAAACAUUCUACCGCCCUAGUAUGGGAGACAGAAAAGGCACAACCUUAAAGCAAUAACAAAAGUACCGCAAGGGAACGCUGAAAGAGAAAUGAAAUAAAUCAUCAAAGCACAACAAAGCAGAGAUUAACCCUCGUACCUUUUGCAUCAUGAUUUAGCUAGUAUCAUUGAGCAAAGAGUACUUUAGUUCAAACCCCCGAAACUAAGUGAGCUACCCCGGGACAGCCUAUCAAUUAGGGCCAACCCGUCUCUGUGGCAAAAGAGUGGGAAGAUCCCCGGGUAGAGGUGACAGACCUACCGAACUUAGUUAUAGCUGGUUGCCUAAGAAAUGAAUAGAAGUUCAGCCUGCACUCCUCAACUCACACACAUUUUAUAAAACACGAGUCAGAGCAAGACGCAAGAGUUAAUCAAAGGAGGUACAGCUCCUCUGAAACAGGACACAACCUUAACAGGAGGUUAAAGAUUAUAUUACCCAAGAUACGCCGCUUCAGUGGGCCUAAAAGCAGCCACCCUAGUAGAAAGCGUUAAAGCUCAAGCGGACUAAAAAUCUAUUAUCCAAAUAUUUAAUCUUAAACCCCUAACCAUAUUAGGCCAUCCUAUGCACACAUAGAAAAGAUGCUGCUAAAAUGAGUAAUAAGAAGGAAUCCCCUUCUCCCCAGCCUACGUGUACGCUAGAUCGACUCCCACUAGCAAUUAUCGAACCCAAUAAAAGAGGGCAAUGUGUUUAUAUCAAAUAUCAAGAAAACCCCACACAACCCUAAUCGUUAACCCCACACCGGAAGGCUAAAAAUUGAGGAAAGACUAAAAGAAAAGGAAGGAACUCGGCAAACACAAGCCUCGCCUGUUUACCAAAAACAUCGCCUCCUGCAAAAAUUCAACGUAUAGGAGGUCUUGCCUGCCCAGUGACAAGUUUAACGGCCGCGGUAUUUUGACCGUGCAAAGGUAGCGCAAUCACUUGUCUUUUAAAUGAAGACCUGUAUGAAUGGUGGAACGAGGGCUUAACUGUCUCCCCUUUCAAGUCAAUGAAAUUGAUCUGCCCGUGCAGAAGCGGACAUACAAAUACAAGACGAGAAGACCCUUUGGAGCUUUAGAUACAAGAUCACCUAUGUCAAGGACUACUAACUAAGUCAAACUAAAUAGCAACCUGAUCCUAAUCUUUUGUUGGGGCGACUACGGGAAAAAACAAAGCUCCCACGAGGAUUGGGGCUACAACCCCAAAACCAAGAAAGACAUCUCUAAGUCACAGAACAUCUGACCAUAAAGAUCCGGUUAUAUACCGACCAACGGACCAAGUUACCCUAGGGAUAACAGCGCAAUCCCCUUCCAGAGUCCAUAUCGACAAGGGGGUUUACGACCUCGAUGUUGGAUCAGGACAUCCUAAUGGUGCAGCCGCUAUUAAGGGUUCGUUUGUUCAACGAUUAAAGUCCUACGUGAUCUGAGUUCAGACCGGAGUAAUCCAGGUCAGUUUCUAUCUGUAAUGCUACUCUUCCCAGUACGAAAGGACCGGAAAAGAAGGGCCCAUGUUACAAACACGCCCUACCCCAACUUAAUGACACCAACUAAAUUAAACAAAGGGAAAGCACAAACCCUAAUCAAGAUAAGAUUAUUAAGA